AGUAAGAGGAUGAUAAAUCAGAUUUUUCCUUCUGAUUUUCAGCUUUUUCAUCCUAAAAAAAUUCAAAUUCAUCUAAAAAUACUAAAAAUCAGGAGGAAAAAUCUGAUUUGUCAUUCUCUUAUU
rfam:Gossypium hirsutum cultivar TM-1 chromosome 15, whole genome shotgun sequence